CGCAAAUCCGCGAAGGGGUUGGGAGUUUGAUAAAAGAUCUUCAUCUCUGUCACAGCUUGGGCUUUAAGACUUUCCACAUUUCUUCACUUUGCUGUUUGGUGACAGCAUCUCCAGUCAAGACAGUCUGCAUUCCACCUACCCAUGCCCCUUCUUUUACUGGCACUGGGAUUGGGAUCACCAGGAGCUGCAUAUUCCAACACAGCAGUGGCAUGGCGUGGCAUGGUGUUUAACCUUCCUGAGAAGUUACAGCCCUACUGCCAUUUGCAGGCACAAACUCUCCCGGAAGUGGAGGAAACCAUUCUGUUAUUUAUUUAGAC